rnacentral:lncRNA from 1 species
UUUUUGGCAAUUUUUCCGCUGGGGGGUCUUGGGACCCCGACCUUCGGGGGCUGAUUUUUGGGCGCGGUUGUGCCCGUGGCCUAUUUUUGGCACACAGAGGCCGCCCGCCAAGUAUGGUGCCAUUCCGAGUCCCGCGGACGAACUUCGCCCACGCCCCCCACCAAGGCUAUAGCCCACCCGUUUUUUGGCCAUUUUUCCGCUGGGGGGUCUUGGGACCCCGACCUUCGGGGGCUGAUUUUUGGGCGCGGCUGUGCCCGUGGCCUAUUUUUGGCGCACGGAGGCCGCCCGCCAAGUAUGGGGCCAUUCCGAGUCCCGCGGACGAACUUCACCCACGCCCCCUUCCAAGGCUAUAGCGCAUCCGUUUUUUGGCCAUUUUUCAGCUGGGGGGACUUGGGACCCCAACCUUCGGGGGCUGAUUUUUGGGCGCGGCUGUGCCCGUGGCCUAUUUUUGGCACACGGAGGCCGCCCGCCAAGUAUGGUGCCAUUCCGAGUCCCGCGGACGAACUUCGCCCACGCCCCCCACCAAGGCUAUAGCCCACCCAUUUUUUGGCCAUUUUUCCGCUGGGGGUCUUGGGACCCCGACCUUCGGGGGCUGAUUUUUGGGCGCGGCUUUGCCAGUGGCCUAUUUUUGGCCCACGGAGGCCGCCCGCCAAGUCUGGGGCCAUUCCGAGUCCCGCGGAGGAACGUCGCCCACGCCCCCCACCAAGGCUAUAGCCCACCCUUUUUUUGGCCAUUUUUCCGCUGGGGGGUCUUGGGACCCCGACCUUCGGGGGCUGAUUUUUGGGCGCGGCUGUGCCCGUGGCCUAUUUUUGGCACACGGAGGCCGCCCGCCAAGUAUUGUCCCAUUCCGAGUCCCGCGGACGAACUUCGCCCACGCCCCCCACCAAGGCUAUAGCCCACCCGUUUUUUGGCCAUUUUUCCGCUGGGGGGUCUUGGGACGCCGACGUUCGGGGGCUGAUUUUUGGGAGCGGCUGUGGCCGUGGCCUAUUUUUGGCACACGGAGGCCGCCCGCCAAGUCUGCUGCAAUUCCGAGUCCCGCGGACGAACUUCGCCCACGCCGCCCACCAAGGCUAUAGCCCACCCUUUUUUUGGCCAUUUUUCCGCUGGGGGGUCUUGGGACCCCGACCUUCGGGGGCUGAUUUUUGGGCGCGGCUGUGGCCGUGGCCUAUUUUUGGCACACGGAGGCCGCCCGCCAAGUCUGGUGCAAUUCCGAGUCCCGCGGACGAACUUCGCCCACGCCGCCCACCAAGGCUAUAGCCCACCCUUUUUUUAGCCAUUUUUCCGCUGGGGGGUCUUGGGACCCCGACCUUCGGGGGCUGAUUUUUGGGCGCGGCUGUGCCCGUGGCCUAUUUUUGGCACACGGAGGCCGCCCGCCAAGUCUGGUGCCAUUCCGAGUCCCGCGGACGAACUUCGCCCACGCCCCCCACCAAGGCUAUAGCCCACCCAUUUUUUGGCCAUUUUUCCGCUGGGGGGUUUUGGGACCCCGACCUUCGGGGGCUGAUUUUUGGGCACGGCUGUGCCCGUGGCCUAUUUUUGGCACACGGAGGCCGCCUGCCAAGUCUGGGGCCAUUCCGAGUCCAGCGGACGAACAUCGCCCACGCCCCCCACAUAGGCUAUAGCCCACCCGUUUUUUGGCCAUUUUUCGGCUGGGGGGUCUUGGGACCCCGACCUUCGGGGGCUGAUUUUUGGGCGCGGCUGUGCCCGUGGCCUAUUUUUGGCACACGGAGGCCGUCCGCCAAGUCUGGGGCCAUUCCGAGUCCGGCGGACGAACUUCGCCCACGCCCCCCUCCAAGGCUAUAUGCCACCCGUUUUUUGGCCAUUUUUCCGCUGGGGGGUCUUGGGACCCCGACCUUCGGGGGCUGAUUUUUGGGCGCGGCCGUGCCCGUGGCCUAUU